rnacentral:rRNA from 1 species
UGGGGAAUCUUCCGCAAUGGACGAAAGUCUGACGGAGCGACGCCGCGUGAGUGAAGAAGGCCUUCGGGUCGUAAAGCUCUGUCAAUGGGGACGAACGAGUCGGUCAGGAAAUGGGCCGGCAGUGACGGUACCCAUGAAGGAAGCCACGGCUAACUACGUGCCAGCAGCCGCGGUAAUACGUAGGUGGCGAGCGUUGUCCGGAAUUAUUGGGCGUAAAGCGCGCGCAGGCGGAAACAUCAGUCUGUUGUGAAAAUGCGGGGCUUAACCCCGUAGAUGCGAUGGAUACUGUGUUUCUUGAGUGCAGGAGAGGAAAGCGGAAUUCCCCGUGUAGCGGUGAAAUGCGUAGAGAUGGGGAGGAACACCAGUGGCGAAGGCGGCUUUCUGGACUGUGUCUGACGCUGAGGCGCGAAAGCUAGGGGAGCGAACGGG